AGAUCACGCUGAAACAUGUUUUAGUUACCUCCAUGUCUUCAUCGAACGGCAUACAAUUCUCACUUUUAAGGCUGACACUUGUAACUUUGUAACCACGGUAGCUUGUGAGAUGAAUUGCUAACAACUAGAUAGCCCUGUUUAAGAUUAUCGCACACAUAAGAAUUUACCCAGAGUCGGCAAAAAAUAAAUGUUCAGCUUCAAACUUAACAUUCAUACUUUUGGAUCAUUUUAAACGUUGCAGCGUGAUUACGCUGGUGAUUCACAAAGAUGUUUAAAAUGAGGUUUGAAAGUUAUUUAUUAAAAAGUGGAGCGGCCACAUAAGUCGGUCGAAAAAUUAAUGGAAAAUUAUAAAAAUGUUGUAAAGUAAAAGUUUUAGAAUGUCAUUUUUUUUCUCAACUUCUACAAAUAUUAAUACAAAUUAUUGAAUGAAGAUAUAAUACUUACAAAGAGUUAUUGCAAUAUGGUUACUGAAUGAAGAUAUAAUACUUACAAAGAAUUAUUGCAAUAUGGUUACUGAAUGAAGAUAUAAUACUUAUAAAAAGUUAUUGCGAUAUGAUGAGAAGAUAAUCCACUAAAGCAGUAUCAUCUAAUUUGUACUUUUAACAAGAAAGUAACUGUAUAUAUAAUAAAUACUAUUUUGUUAAAUAUA